rnacentral:misc_RNA from 1 species
GAUGAAGAACGCAGCGAAAUGCGAUAAGUAAUGCGAAUUGCAGAAUUCAGUGAGUCAUCGAAUCUUUGAACGCACAUUGCGCCCCUUGGCAUUCCGAGGGGCACACCUGUUCGAGCGUCAUUUAAACCUUCAAGCUCAGCUUGGUGUUGGGUGACUGUCCGCUUCACCGCGGACUCGCCUCAAAAUUAUUGGCGGCCGGUACAUUGGCUCUCGAGCGCAGCAGAAACGCGUAACUCGAGGUCCUCGUGCUGGCUCCCAGAAGCUAUCUUCACAAUUUUGACCUCGGAUCAGGUAGGGAUACCCGCUGAACUUAAGCAUAUCAAUAAGCGGAGGA